GACGAACGCUGGCGGCGUGCUUAACACAUGCAAGUCGAACGGAAAGGCCCUGCUCUUGUGGGGUGCUCGAGUGGCGAACGGGUGAGUAACACGCGAGUAACCUGCCCUUGACUUUGGGAUAACUUCAGGAAACUGGGGCUAAUACCGGAUAGGAGCUCCUGCUGCAUGGUGGGGGUUGGAAAGUUUCGGCGGUUGGGGAUGGACUCGCGGCUUAUCAGCUUGUUGGUGGGGUAGUGGCUUACCAAGGCUUUGACGGGUAGCCGGCCUGAGAGGGUGACCGGCCACAUUGGGGCUGGAAGACGGCCCAGACUCCUACGGGAGGCAGCAGUGGGGAAUAUUGCACAAUGGGCGGAAGCCUGAUGCAGCCACGCCGCGUGCGGGAUGACGGCCUUCGGGUUGUAAACCGCUUUCGCCUGUGACGAAGCGUGAGUGACGGUAAUGGGUAAAGAAGCACCGGCUAACUACGUG
rnacentral:rRNA from 1 species